rnacentral:rRNA from 1 species
AGUGAAGCAGGCAAUAGCUCAAAUUUGAAAGCUGGCGCCUUCGGCGUCCGCGUUGUAAUUUGUAGAGGAUGCUUCGGCGAGGACUCCUGCCUAAGUCCCCUGGAACGGGGCGUCACAGAGGGUGAGAAUCCCGUACGUGGCGGGCGGUCCAAGCCAUGUGAAGCUCCUUCGACGAGUCGAGUUGUUUGGGAAUGCAGCUCUAAAUGGGAGGUAAAUUUCUUCUAAAGCUAAAUAUUGGCCAGAGACCGAUAGCGCACAAGUAGAGUGAUCGAAAGAUGAAAAGCACUUUGGAAAGAGAGUUAAAAAGUACGUGAAAUUGUUGAAAGGGAAGCGCUUGCAACCAGACUCGCCCGCAGUUGCUCAGCCGGCCUCUUGGCCGGUGUACUCUUCUGCGGUCGGGCCAGCAUCAGUUCGGGCGGUUGGAUAAAGGUGUCGGGAAUGUAGCACCCUUUGGGGUGUGUUAUAGCCCGGCGCGGAAUGCAGCCAGCCUGGACUGAGGAUCUCGCUUCGGCAAGGAUGCUGGCGUAAUGGUUGUAAGCGGCCCGUCUUGAAACACGGACCAAGGAGUCUAACAUCUAUGCGAGUGUUUGGGUGUCAAACCCAUGCGCGUAAUGAAAGUGAACGGAGGUGGGAACCCCUCACGGGGUGCACCAUCGACCGAUCCUGAUGUCUUCGGAUGGAUUUGAGUAAGAGCAUAGCUGUUGGGACCCGAAAGAUGGUGAACUAUGCCUGAAUAGGGUGAAGCCAGAGGAAACUCUGGUGGAGGCUCGCAGCGGUUCUGACGUGCAAAUCGAUCGUCAAAUUUGGGUAUAGGGGCGAAAGACUAAUCG